CCAGCUUGGGUCCCUUCCAUGCGGUGCAGCCCUUCAGGAACAGACUGCUCCAGUGUGGGUCCCUGCAGGGUCAGAAGUCCUGCAGCAAAUCUGCUCCAUGUGGACUCCUCUCUCCAUAGAGCUUCCUUGAUGACAA